GUUACUCUUUUGUACUUUGUCUUUUUCUUUUAUUUUCUUUUGAGCGAUUGUGCGAACAUAGCAUAGCACGCACUAUGCCUUCUGUGUUGUAGCUGCCUGGCCAGGGCGACUGGCGGAUAAGGUCUUGUGCGUGGCCUCGAGGCUUAAAAGUAGCAGUGGGGCUUUGUGAAGGACAAAAUGGCGAUGGCGGGCCGUGUAGGUCCCCCUUCCUAUGAUGAGGACCUUUUCACAGACCUGUACUGAGCUCCGUGAGGAUAAAUAACUCUGAGGAGAUGGGCCCUGCAAGCCUCUUGCUUAGCCGUCUGUUCAGAAAAUAGCGUUUUCGAAAUGCCCUGAGUUGACCUAAUGUCUUAUUGGGCUCCUGUCUGCAGGAUUUACGCGCACGUUGGAACCGAAGAGAGCUCUGUUGUUGCAAUGUUCAGCCCACAAGAGCUUACUGGUGAAGGAAUGGGACAAGACCCAUCUUUAUGCAAAGCCAGCGUUACAGUAAUGUUCCAGCAUCUCAUAAUCUAUCCUGGGGAAUUCAGCUGCCUCCCAGGGUGAAUACAGGUAUUCCUGAUGACAGUCUGCCUCUAUCUUACAGUAAGUUGUUUUUCGAAUUCUAUGGGCCUAUUAUCUAAUAGAUAACUUAGCCAUUUUGAUAUUUGUUACCAAAGCCUGCUUAACCCAUAAAGUUUUCUGGUUCCUCUUGUUCUCUGUAGUGAUGUUUCUAGAUAGAUGCCCACUGAUAUAUGCCCCUUUUUUCUCAGAUAGAUGCCCACUGAUCUGCCCAGGGUCAGACGAAUGCUUGUCAGUUGUAGCUUUCCAGGAUUCUGCUCCAAUGAGGAGGAAACAUCCUGCCUUACCCCUGUUUUAGCCUGGGAACCAGUAAUUGUGAACUCACCAGGGUUAACAUGAAGAGGGCAUGAGAGCUUAUUCCAUAAGGAAUUGUCUGAGACAUUUGGUUACCUUUUCUUAGUUUGUCCAUUAGCAACCGUAACUAAAAUAGUUUUGGCUGUUUGGGAUAAUUAGCUAAUUGAAUGAUUUUUUGAUUCAGGAGCAGCUUGUUGCUAUAUACCAUUGAAAAGCCUUCAGAGCUGAGAGGUUAGUUGAUAUUUUUUGUUCCUUACAGCUUAUGCCACCAAGUAGGCAGUUUCUAUGAUGAAUCAAACUAGCUCACUAUGACCGACAGUGAAAAUACAUGAACACCUGAGAAACUGGAGAACGCAGGGAGUGGGGGGUAACCAUGUCUGAGGAAUCUUUCACCCACAGCUUUGUUUUUCUCUAGGUACUACUAACCAAUAACCUGCUUGGCUCAAAGGGCCAGCACCUUCUCUCUAAAGCCCAAGAGGAGUUUGAGGUAAAUGGCUUUGCAAUAGUUACCAUCAAUGGCUGCUAUAUAAAAUUUUCUGUGAUUUUUGUGUGUGAUAGCACUGUGGUCUGGGUGAAUGUACACAGACAUAACUGGCUUAACCCAAAGUCUUUGAUCUCCUGAACCACCAGUGAUGAAUUGCUGCUCACCAGUGAUGAGUUGAAUACCGCCCCAGUCUGAUCAAUGUGUGACUGAAAGGUAUUUUCUGAGCUGUGAGCCUGCCUUCCAGUGACAUGUUCUAAAAAUUGCAAGUUAUUUGAGGAGGCUUUACAGCCAAUAGGAAGUUCUUGGGCUAAGUAGUGUUUCCUAUAAAAUGUGCCCUGAAACUUCUUUCUGCCAAGCAAUAGAUACAAUUGAGAGAUUGUAAAAUGUGACAUAGAAUGAAAGUCUCUCAAGACUACAUUUUUCUUUCUUGAUUUUGCAGGAAAACUAGGUGUCUGUGUUCACUCCAGGCUGAAGUUACAGGUGAGUAAACCUAAAUGUAAGGUGGACUAUGCUAAAAAUUCCCAAUGAAGAAACUUUCACAUGUCUUACUCUCUGUCCUAGUCCCAGAGCCUGUAAAGGUGAACCCACUGGGACUGGCUGGGGGAGAAGAGGAAGAUUUGUUCCAGAAGGAACUGUCUGAGGGAUGAUAAAGAUUUCUAUACAGAGAAAGGGAGUAAUCAUCACUUGUUGAAAACAUUGGUUUUAUUUUUUCCAGGUCUGAGCAAAUAAGGUGUAUAAAAAAUGGAAUCUGUCUUGGAGGACAUCAGAAGGUGAAUUUUCCAAGUUCUUGGACAACCUAGCUGUUGAAAAGCUUUCUGGGUUUGGGGGGUAUUUCAGAUGUACCUUAAAGUGUUAGCAGACACAGAUUAAGACACUGGGAGCCAAUGAAACAGCAGUUGAGGGUUUGCUGUGUAUCACAUUUCUGUAUUUUAUCACCCCCUUCCUGCAACAUUAUUUAUCUGGAAUCUACCUGCCCUUUUGUUUUUUAGAUACAAGGGCUUGGUUUUGUUACCCAGGCUGGUUUCAAGGCCAUAGCUUUAAGAGAUCCUCUCACCACAGAUUUCCAAAGUGCUGGGAUUGCAGGUGUGAUUCAUGGCACCCAGACUUUGCUGCCUUUCUUACAUGAUCCAGGCCCAGAACCCAAACUCAGGCACUGUAUAGAUGACCACUUUCGUAAACUACUGACCUAGCUUGUUGCCAAUUGUUGAUUGAACUUCCCAUAACUCCACUUCGUGUCUGUUCCUCUGUAUACAGCCACCUUCUGUUCCCGUCAUGAGCCUUUAGGUCUCCAUUUGCAUAUUGCAAAUACUAUGUUCCAUGUAGGUAGCUCAUUCAGGGCCUUGCUCUUCACUUCAAAAAAGGUUCCCUUGAGGACUGGCUGUCAAUUUGUGUUGCUGUGUUGGUUGUUGAUGAAAAUAAUAAAAUGA
ensembl:lncRNA SNHG1 small nucleolar RNA host gene 1